rnacentral:rRNA from 1 species
GCGGCUCUGCAAGUCAGGUGUGAAAACUAUGGGCUUAACCCAUAACGUGCACUUGAAACUGUGGAGCUUGAGUGAAGUAGAGGCAGGCGGAAUUCCCGGUGUAGCGGUGAAAUGCGUAGAGAUCGGGAGGAACACCAGUGGCGAAGGCGGCCUGCUGGGCUUUAACUGACGCUGAGGCACGAAAGCAUGGGUAGCAAACAGGAUUAGAUACCCUGGUAGUCCAUGCCGUAAACGAUGAUUACUAGGUGUGGGUGGUCUGACCCCAUCCGUGCCGGGGUUAACACAAUAAGUAAUCCACCUGGGAAGUACGACCGCAAGGUUGAAACUCAAAGGAAUUGACGGGGGCCCGCACAAGCAGUGGAGUAUGUGGUUUAAUUCGAAGCAACGCGAAGAACCUUACCAGGUCUUGACAUCCAACUAACGAAGCAGAGAUGCAUUAGGUGCCCUUCGGGGAAAGUUGAGACAGGUGGUGCAUGGUUGUCGUCAGCUCGUGUCGUGAGAUGUUGGGUUAAGUCCCGCAACGAGCGCAACCCUUGUGAUUAGUUGCUACGCAAGAGCCACUCUA